rnacentral:lncRNA from 1 species
CAGGAACUCAGGUAACAGGAAUUUCACAUUUGUGUACAAUUUUAUUGAGAAGAGGAAGGAAAAAAGGCAUAAAGUGAUCUGAAGGCGAAACUUCUUCCAUCGCAUUUGAGAGAACUCAGGAAAAGAGCCGGCUAACGGUAUUACGGAAGUACUAGUUGGCACAGAGGCUCGGUGCAAUUACCGUUCUGCACCGUAAAACGGGUUUAGGAAGUUCCUAGGAGAUACUAGCGGUGCCAGAACCGAGAAAGUGACGACACAGACAACUUAUGGACUCCGCGUACGGGAAACGUUCCGUUGGGCGCUAAGAACGGUGCAGCAACUGAAAAACCGCUCAGUGGGCGCUACUGGCAAAAGCGUUGCUGCAAAACCGCCAGCUCCGCAUUAGAAGCAGAGCCGCCAGACAGAACCCGGGACCUGAAACCACCGAAGCGGAGACCGAGCUUG